UUUCGCAAUGCCCGAAAGGGUGACAAUGCGACGCCGCGUGUGCGAUGAAGGUCUUCGGAUUGUAAAGCACUGUCAGUCGGGAGGAAGGUGACUCUAUCGAACAAAUGGAGUUGCUUGACAGUACCGGCAGAGGAAGCCACGGCUAACUCCGUGCCAGCAGCCGCGGUAAUACGGAGGUGGCAGGCGUUACUCGGAUUGAUUGGGUGUAAAGGGCGUGUAGGUGGUGAAUUAAGUCGAUUGUGAAAUCCCUUGGCUUAACCAAGGAACUGCAUUCGAAACUGAUUUGCUUGAGUGAUAGAGAGGUAAGUGGAAUUCCCGGUGUAACAGUGAAAUGUGUAGAUAUCGGGAGGAACACCAGUGGCGAAGGCGACUUACUGGCUGUCUACUGGCACUGAAACGCGAGAGCUAGGGGAGCAAACAGGAUUAGAUACCCUGGUAGUCCUAGCCGUAAACGAUGGGCACUAAGUAGAGGGGUUUUAAUCUC
rnacentral:rRNA from 1 species